ensembl:lncRNA
GGAAAUGUUGUUGCGUAUUUAAGCGAGAGGAAGCAGAGACUGGUCCUUUCUAUCCUGCAGACUCUUGUCUGAAACGGAGCGGAGAUGGUCUGCUUGUAUGCUGUGAUCUAGUGUGCAGUCUGCUGUCACUAGAUGACUGCACACGAGUUGUGACGUAACGCUGCCUAAGGAUCUCUUUCGAUGCUUGCAUUUAUUAUUUUAUUUUGAGGAGGAGAGGAGGAGAACCCAACUGCCAAGGGAUUCGGGCACUCGGGUCCGCUGCCCUGUUCUGGAGCAUUCUCUGGCAACACUGGAUCUCUGGCCGGGGUCCAGUGGACCUGCAGUGAACAGCGCCAGGUCUAUGACCCGCUGAGCGCAAUUCUUCCCAGAAAAAUCAAUAAAAAUGGAAAAACCUGAAACUGAAACUAAU